AACAAAGGGCAUCUGUUUUUCCAAUAUAAAAUACUUAUUGUCUUGAGUGCAGCCUAGCUAAAAUGCCGAACAUUGCUCACGCUUCUGUAUCUCUAUGGAUGAAAUGUCCAUAGAAGUUUUUUCUUCUAAUUUUUUUUAAAUAAAAGUACUUUUGGGUACUAAAUCAAAUUCCUUCCCAUUUAAAGAGUACAGCAAACCAUUGCAUGUGCAAGGUGCCUACUCAAAUGAAUGGGACUAUACACAUAUGUUACAGGCUCACGUUGUAUACGUAAAAUACUGCAGAAAAGAUUUAUAGUCCUUCUAAUUUCAAGAGAGACUAGAUUCUUGAUCCUUCCCAUCUUCAGAAUUGUUUGAUAACUGUUCUCGAACACAAUUAACGAGUUGAGAAGCUCUAUGGUCGAAAUUUAAGGGUCUCCUCCGUAAACUCUGUAGAACUUCAACAAAUUAUAUACUUUUUCCCAGUAGAAUAUUGUCUUUUUUGUUGCAAUAGGAAAACACAAAGCUAGCGAUGCAUACCUCGGUGGUCCAUAAGCAAUCACGUGCCUUACGAGGUAUUAUAUGAAUGUGUGUCUGAAAUUCCCAUGUUAUGAGGCAAAAGUAGCACAAAUGUUCAUUUUACUUUGCUGUAAAUAAUUGAAGUAUCUUGCUAACAAGGGAAAAAGCAAAUCUGUUUCCUAGACAAAUAACAAAGGCAGUCUAAUUCUGACUCAGAUGAAAUUAAAGAACACAAAAUUUGUGCAUUUAUCAUUAAAAUAACUUUUUUCACAUUGAAACAGAAGUUCAAAACAACUUACGUGAAAUAUUACUUGGCCUGCAGCUGCACCAUUAUUAACCAAUAAAUUGAAAGAAUCUGCAAAUAAGGUCAAAUGAUACUGCAGUUUACCAGGUGUGCUUGAAAUUUUGCUUGAAUGGCUCAAAAAAUAGAUUCCAUUUGCCAAAAACAAGAAAUGAGUAACACAAGCAAGUUAUAAAGUUAUAUAAAUGUUAUGAAUAAAAUAAAAAUUAAUCCUAAGAUAUUAUCCUAGUAGGCAAAUUAUGUUAAAAAUAUAAAACUGUGUCAAAUUUAGCCCCACGUUUUAACUGUGAAUAAGUUUCUAAUUAGGUUUAAAUGAAACUGAACCAAACCGACUUAAUUCAAUUUUUUGAUAUUUCGAUUUGGUUUCAGUUAUAUUUUAAAAAAAAAAAGGUUAUUAAGGUUAAAAAUUGAAAUAACCUAACUGAAAUUUUACUAGUCUACCAAUUACCUUUCCCCAGCCUACAUUUCAACCCUAAAGCCGAGGCCCAAGUCCAACUGACAGCUACCCAAGCCACUAUCAAUUGUAUACCCAAUGACCCAACCCACCUCAAUAAAUCCCUAUACCUAAUUUUCAGUUGUGAUAUUUCCAUUUUCCCUUCCCCAGUUCCCUUACUCAACUGAUUGCAAUUCCAACUUGCCCUCUUCCUUGUUCACUUACUCUCACUAAUGCUAGUGUGCUACUGCUUCCUUCCCAUCCCCACACCCUCUAUGAUUGCAACUCCAACUCCUUUUUUGCAGUUGCAAGCUUCUAAUGGAAUGCAUCUGACUCCUCCUGCAACUAGGUUGGGGUUGUCUGCAACGACAACCAAUCGUGUGUACGAACUUCGCCUUCCCAUUCCUGACGUGGCCCGGUGGGCCAGAUCUGCUGCAAGGUGGUGUUUCAU
rnacentral:misc_RNA from 1 species